AUGUAUAUCGCGAUGUCUAUAGGAACUACAACUUCUAAAGAAAUGUUGUUUUUUAAGGUCUCAUUUUCUGCCAGUUACAAAUAUAGUUUUCUUUAUAAAAUGAAAACUGUCGUUUACAGAUGCAGCCUCUUUAUGAGUUUCUGCCACAGGUGGAGACACCCCAGCAAACUGCUCCAUAUCGUCAGCAACCCCAACAGAACAAUCCUUAUGCUCCACCAUCACAGACACCCCAGCAGCAAGGACCUACCCGGCCUGCAAGCUUUGAGAUUCUCUUUCCUUAUGGAUACUCAAGACCGUCUUUCGGAGGUCCUGAGCAUGCUGGGGCAAUGUUCCCUUCCCAGGCAUUUAUCAGACAGAAGAUCCCCCAGCCCGCUGGUAGACAGAGCAUUGAAAUUCUCUUCCCCUACAGCUUUGGACAGCACCAGCAGAUGUUCCCAGGAGCCUCCAACAUGCCUCAGCCACCUCAGAUGCCCCAGCAACCUCAGCUGCCACAGCUACCCCAGCAACCCAAUAUGUUCCCAUAUGGAAAUAUGCCCCAGACAGGAGGACCACAGCAGAACCCGAAUGUGUUCCAUGGCUUUGGAAACGUGCCACCAAAUUUGUUCCCCUCCUUCGGAAACCUGCCACACCUGCCCCCUAACUUUAUUCCAAAUUUCGGAAUACCCCAGCCUGUCCCUCAGGAGCCAACCCAGCCUGUCCAGCCCGUCCAGCCUGUCCAGCCUGUCCAGCCCGUCCAGCCUGUCCAGCCAAGUCAGAAUACCCCCGUUGAGGAACAGGAUUAAUACCACGGUGUCUUGACCGAUAUGCUGCGAAGCUGGUCUUCCGACUGAUUCAAGAUGUUGAAGUGCUUCUACUCGUCUGGCGCGUACACAUCCUCGGCUCGACCUCGUAUUUUCUUUUCCUCUUGAUAAUGAUUCAAGUAGAAAAAGAAGAAUAUUGAUAAGCAGCCUAGAGCGUCACUGCGUAUUUGUUCUGCUUUUAGAAUUUAGCUCUCUGUUUAAAAAAAAAUAAUGUGACUGCUCCUUUUACACGUAUGUAACUUUAGAAAUGUGACUGAAACAGGAAGUAGUAAGAUCUGGAAAGCAUGGUCGUUUAUAAACGCGCUGAUUAACAUUAAUUUCUUCAGGCUUAUUUAAUGCUUUUGUGACGAACAUUAUGUAUAUGUGAGCAAUAGUGCAAAAGCAAAUGCGGUCGUUAUUUUUUCCAUCAUGGUGUGUUAAAUGUGAUAAUAGAAAUGUCCAGCUAUUUAAAAAUGUUUUUAAGCUGUUUGAAAAAUAUGAUGUGCCUAGAAAUAAAGUUUAAGUCCAUCAAAAAUGUUUUUUUUUCUAUUAUUUCUCUUUCGAUAACAUUCACUAAUGCGAAAGUCAGAUUCAUAAGGGAAAGAUACAGUAAAUGUUGUUGUAAGGACUUUUUUCUUGAAUACACCUUACUACAAACUAUGUGUUUGAGGAUUAGGGGGUAAGAUUCAAAGAAUUUUAUCCUGUUGUGUGAAUUAAAAACACUGGUGUAU
rnacentral:lncRNA from 1 species